CUUUUACAAUGAAGAGUUUGAUCCUGGCUCAGGAUGAACGCUAGCUACAGGCUUAACACAUGCAAGUCGAGGGGCAUCAGUUUGGUUUGCUUGCAAACCAAAGCUGGCGACCGGCGCACGGGUGAGUAACACGUAUCCAACCUACCUCAUACUCGGGGAUAGCCUUUCGAAAGAAAGAUUAAUAUCCGAUAGCAUAUAUUUCCCGCAUGGGUUUUAUAUUAAAGAAAUUCGGUAUGAGAUGGGGAUGCGUUCCAUUAGUUUGUUGGGGGGGUAACGGCCCACCAAGACUACGAUGGAUAGGGGUUCUGAGAGGAAGGUCCCCCACAUUGGAACUGAGACACGGUCCAAACUCCUACGGGAGGCAGCAGUGAGGAAUAUUGGUCAAUGGACGCGAGUCUGAACCAGCCAAGUAGCGUGAAGGAUGACUGCCCUAUGGGUUGUAAACUUCUUUUAUAUGGGAAUAAAGUGGUCCACGUGUGGACUUUUGUAUGUACCAUAUGAAUAAGGAUCGGCUAACUCCGUGCCAGCAGCCGCGGUAAUACGGAGGAUCCGAGCGUUAUCCGGAUUUAUUGGGUUUAAAGGGAGCGUAGGCGGAUUGUUAAGUCAGUUGUGAAAGUUUGCGGCUCAACCGUAAAAUUGCAGUUGAUACUGGCAGUCUUGAGUGCAGUAGAGGUGGGCGGAAUUCGUGGUGUAGCGGUGAAAUGCUUAGAUAUCACGAAGAACUCCGAUUGCGAAGGCAGCUCACUGGAGUGUAACUGACGCUGAUGCUCGAAAGUGUGGGUAUCAAACAGGAUUAGAUACCCUGGUAGUCCACACAGUAAACGAUGAAUACUCGCUGUUUGCGAUAUACAGUAAGCGGCCAAGCGAAAGCAUUAAGUAUUCCACCUGGGGAGUACGCCGGCAACGGUGAAACUCAAAGGAAUUGACGGGGGCCCGCACAAGCGGAGGAACAUGUGGUUUAAUUCGAUGAUACGCGAGGAACCUUACCCGGGCUUAAAUUGCAAAUGAAUUAUGGGGAAACCCAUACGCCGCAAGGCAUUUGUGAAGGUGCUGCAUGGUUGUCGUCAGCUCGUGCCGUGAGGUGUCGGCUUAAGUGCCAUAACGAGCGCAACCCUUAUCUUCAGUUACUAACAGGUCAUGCUGAGGACUCUGGAGAGACUGCCGUCGUAAGAUGUGAGGAAGGUGGGGAUGACGUCAAAUCAGCACGGCCCUUACGUCCGGGGCUACACACGUGUUACAAUGGGGGGUACAGAAGGCCGCUACCUGGUGACAGGAUGCCAAUCCCAAAAACCUCUCUCAGUUCGGAUCGAAGUCUGCAACCCGACUUCGUGAAGCUGGAUUCGCUAGUAAUCGCGCAUCAGCCAUGGCGCGGUGAAUACGUUCCCGGGCCUUGUACACACCGCCCGUCAAGCCAUGAAAGCCGGGGGUACCUGAAGUACGUAACCGCAAGGAGCGUCCUAGGGUAAAACUGGUAAUUGGGGCUAAGUCGUAACAAGGUAGCCGUACCGGAAGGUGCGGCUGGAACACCUCCUUUCUGGAGC
rnacentral:rRNA from 1 species